UGCUCUGUGGUUAACUUUUCCUAAAUAUUGCACUGACAUUCAAAUCGCAAAGUUGGACAGCAGAUGCCUCGCAUGCAGUGUUUCCUGCAUUUACAUUUAUUUUCUUAACAUCUUGAAAGAAAGAUGGGGCUUAGCUUGCCAAAUCUCUAAGCACCUUAUAAUAACCUAUUCAGACAUCAUAUGGAAGGAUUAAUUUCACCAUUUCACACAUUAAUGCAGUAGCACACCAACUAAACUACCUUUUCAUGUAUCCAAGGCAGCCUGGGAAUUUUAAAAGCAACUGUGGAUUUACCUGAGAGUAAUAUAUUUUCAACCUGAAAGCCAGAUUUUGGGGGAAAAAAACACAACAAAGCAACUUGAGAGAGAGAGCGAGCCUCUAACUGGCAACUGUAAUGGAGACCAUGGCAUUGGUCCCUAGUUCUCUCCUUUCCUCUUCCAGGUGUUUUCCCCAAAUGCCCUUCUUUCCCAUGGCCCUCUGGAAGGCUCUGGAUAUGAGCACCCAGGAGAUAGCUGAUGAGGAAGACUUGGCAUGCUGUGGUCGGGGAAAAGCAUACCUGGCCCUGGCGUGAUUCAGCUAAAGGAGACACAGCUUGGGCAGGCGAAAAAGAAAGAGAAAAGUCAUCAAGGAAAUGGAGAUCACACAAAACGAAGGAAGCAGGUAUUUGUCCUAGAUUCUCACUCUUCAGACCGAAAAUGAAAUAAUGCUCCAACAUAGUGAAGCAGUGCAGAGGGUGAAUUUGUCCCAGGUUCCACCUGGGUUAGAGCACCACUGGCCCCUCCCCCCGGUGAGUGAGGGACUCCAGGCGUGCCUCACCUGACCCCCUCAUGGUGUCCUUGCUCCCCCACAGAUCGUCCCCUGUUUUCAAAUGCCUGUCAACGAGCUGAGAUGACAAAUUUGCCUGUGUUAAUGUGCUGAAGUGAUAGGCAUUUUAGCUGACGGCUCCUGGAACCCACUCUGCCUGAGCGGCCUGAGCCUGCCCUGACUUCAGGGGCGGGAUUUCCGGGGGGGUGGUGAGUCCAGGCAAAAGUGGAAGCACACUGGUGUUGGUGACACCCCUCAUCUCACCCAACAAAGAACAUACCGUCUCCUCUCUGCCUUAUUUUUCUAAUUUUUAGAUGUAGAAUUCUGAGUCACUCAAAACAAUAGAAAUUUCACAAGCGUUCUCAAAAGUGACAUUAAUUUGCUAAUUUAAAACCCAGAUGAAGUGGAAUGACAAUGAAUUUUCACUACAUACCAGUACUUUGUCAUAUAUAGUGGGUUAUUAAU
rnacentral:lncRNA from 12 species